UGUCUGGGAAACUGCCUGAUGGAGGGGGAUAACUACUGGAAACGGUAGCUAAUACCGCAUAAUGUCGCAAGACCAAAGAGGGGGACCUUCGGGCCUCUUACCAUCGGAUGUGCCCAGAUGGGAUUAGCUUGUUGGUGGGGUAACGGCUCACCAAGGCGACGAUCCCUAGCUGGUCUGAGAGGAUGACCAGCCACACUGGAACUGAGACACGGUCCAGACUCCUACGGGAGGCAGCAGUGGGGAAUAUUGCACAAUGGGCGCAAGCCUGAUGCAGCCAUGCCGCGUGUAUGAAGAAGGCCUUCGGGUUGUAAAGUACUUUCAGCGGGGAGGAAGGGAGUAAAGUUAAUACCUUUGCUCAUUGACGUUAUCCGCAGAAGAAGCACCGGCUAACUCCGUGCCAGCAGCCGCGGUAAUACGGAGGGUGCAAGCGUUAAUCGGAAUUACUGGGCGUAAAGCGCACGCAGGCGGUUUGUUAAGUCAGAUGUGAAAUCCCCGGGCUCAACCUGGGAACUGCAUCUGAUACUGGCAAGCUUGAGUCUCGUAGAGGGGGGUAGAAUUCCAGGUGUAGCGGUGAAAUGCGUAGAGAUCUGGAGGAAUACCGGUGGCGAAGGCGGCCCCCUGGACGAAGACUGACGCUCAGGUGCGAAAGCGUGGGGAGCAAACAGGAUUAGAUACCCUGGUAGUCCACGCCGUAAACGAUGUCGACUUGGAGGUUGUGCCCUUGAGGCGUGGCUUCCGGAGCUAACGCGUUAAGUCGACCGCCUGGGGAGUACGGCCGCAAGGUUAAAACUCAAAUGAAUUGACGGGGGCCCGCACAAGCGGUGGAGCAUGUGGUUUAAUUCGAUGCAACGCGAAGAACCUUACCUGGUCUUGACAUCCACGGAAGUUUUCAGAGAUGAGAAUGUGCCUUCGGGAACCGUGAGACAGGUGCUGCAUGGCUGUCGUCAGCUCGUGUUGUGAAAUGUUGGGUUAAGUCCCGCAACGAGCGCAACCCUUAUCCUUUGUUGCCAGCGGUCCGGCCGGGAACUCAAAGGAGACUGCCAGUGAUAAACUGGAGGAAGGUGGGGAUGACGUCAAGUCAUCAUGGCCCUUACGACCAGGGCUACACACGUGCUACAAUGGCGCAUACAAAGAGAAGCGACCUCGCGAGAGCAAGCGGACCUCAUAAAGUGCGUCGUAGUCCGGAUUGGAGUCUGCAACUCGACUCCAUGAAGUCGGAAUCGCUAGUAAUCGUGGAUCAGAAUGCCACGGUGAAUACGUUCCCGGGCCUUGUACACACCGCCCGUCACACCAUGGGAGUGGGUUGCAAAAGAAGUAGGUAGCUUAACCUUCGGGAGGGCGCUUACCACUUUGUGAUUCAUGACUGGGGUGAAGUCGUAACAAGGUAACCGUAGGGGAACCUGCGGUUG
rnacentral:rRNA from 1 species